rnacentral:rRNA from 1 species
UACGUAGGGUGCAAGCGUUAAUCGGAAUUACUGGGCGUAAAGGGCGCGUAGGCGGCUUGGUCAGUCCCGUGUGAAAUCCCUCGGCUCAACUGAGGAACUGCACGGGAAACUGCCUGGCUUGAGUUCGGGAGAGGGAAGCGGAAUUCCGGGUGUAGCGGUGAAAUGCGUAGAUAUCCGGAGGAACACCGGUGGCGAAGGCGGCUUCCUGGACCGACACUGACGCUGAGGCGCGAAAGCUAGGGGAGCAAACGGG